UACAGAGGGUGCGAGCGUUGUCCGGAAUCACUGGGCGUAAAGGGCGCGUAGGCGGCUCAGUAAGGUUGCGGUGAAAGCCCGGGCUCAACCCCGGGUCGGCCGUGGCAACUGCUGAGCUGGAGCACUGUAGAGGCAGGUGGAAUUCCAGGUGUAGCGGUGAAAUGCGUAGAUAUCGUAAGGAAGACCAGUGGCGAAGGCGGGUCUCUGGACAGUUCCUGACGCUGAGGCACGAAGGUCAGGGAGCAAACGGG
rnacentral:rRNA from 1 species